AUACGGAGGGUGCAAGCGUUACUCGGAAUCACUGGGCGUACAGCGCGCGCAGGCGGCUUGAUAAGUUGGAUGUGAAAGCCUACGGCUCAACCGUAGAACUGCAUCCAAAACUGUCAGGCUAGAGUGUGGGAGAGGAAGAUGGAAUUAGUUGUGUAGGGGUAAAAUCCGUAGAGAUAACUAGGAAUACCAAAAGCGAAGGCAAUCUUCUGGAACACUACUGACGCUGAGGCGCGAAGGCGUGGGGAGCAAACAGGAUUAGAAACCCCUGUAGUCC
rnacentral:rRNA from 1 species